rnacentral:other from 1 species
CGGUGGCUGCCCGGUGCGCGAAUGUCAAAUCAUGCUCUGGGCCUAUUUCGUUCUCAUGGGAGCUAUCCCUGAUGAGGCCCUGGCCUCGUUAUCAUGGCGCCCACCUGCUUAGCAGGCCCCAGGGACGAACCGACAGGGUCGACCAUGGUGGCUGCCGC